AUCGAAUUCGAGAAAGUUUUAUGAAUAGCAGGAUGUUUGUGGAGGAGUUAGUAGAGUCCUAUUAUGGCCAGUGUCAUAUGGCGUGAUUUUCUAUCUGGGAAUAUACCGGGUAUCUAGCUGUAGAGAGUUUAGGUUUCUUUUUUAUAUAAUGCCUUAGCUCCCAAAAACAAACUCCUUGCUUUGUAAAAAAAUUCAAAAUAUCUUAAAAUUCUUCAAAAUAUAUUUCUUCCCGCCAAGGACUUUUUUACAUCAGACUUUGAAAAUUCAUAAAAGCUAAUCGAACCGUUCACUUUGUUUCAAAUUUCUACAUAAGCUAGAUGCUAUACUUAACUUUUACCACAAAACAAUUGAACCGUACAUCUAUCACCGAUCGUUCGGCAUCUAAGAAACCCUAGCAGGUGCACAAAACCCUAACUUACAAGCACCCGAAAACUAUUUUCCUUAUAUCUCUUAAACCCAAGCUCCAAAUCACACAAAACUUAUAUAGAAAGCUUUAUAACAAGAUUACACUCAAUCUUGAAAAGUUUGAGCUAAAACCUCAUCAAAUUGUCUAAGAUAUAGCUCAAAUCACAAGCACAAGUAAUUCGGGCUACUUACUACCCUUAGAUAUCAAGCGCUGACUUCAACUGCCAAUAUCUCCUUCAUAAAAGCUUGAAAUUCGAUAAACAGUAUGCACAAACUGUAGCCGAAAAAGUUUUCUCUUCAAAUCCGGUCGCCGAUCCUCGUUUUCUGUCCGUACGCGUGCGGUAUGCUCAAAAGAGUGACAGUACGUUGAAAACUUACACCUUAACUUUGAGCGCGUAUAACUUCUUCAUAUAAACCCCAAAUGACACAAAUUUUGCACCAAAACCAUAUCCAAAAACCUAAACCUUCUGACCCUAUCCUCAAAAACUCGAAU
rnacentral:lncRNA from 1 species